rnacentral:rRNA from 1 species
CAGGAGCUUGCUCUUGUGGAUCAGUGGCGAACGGGUGAGUAACACGUGAGCAACCUGCCCCGAACUCUGGGAUAAGCGCUGGAAACGGCGUCUAAUACCGGAUACGCACCAGGAGGGCAUCUUCACUGGUGGGAAAGAUCUAUUGGUUCGGGAUGGGCUCGCGGCCUAUCAGCUUGUUGGUGAGGUAACGGCUCACCAAGGCGUCGACGGGUAGCCGGCCUGAGAGGGUGACCGGCCACACUGGGACUGAGACACGGCCCAGACUCCUACGGGAGGCAGCAGUGGGGAAUAUUGCACAAUGGGCGCAAGCCUGAUGCAGCAACGCCGCGUGAGGGAUGACGGCCUUCGGGUUGUAAACCUCUUUUAGCAGGGAAGAAGCGAAAGUGACGGUACCUGCAGAAAAAGCGCCGGCUAACUACGUGCCAGCAGCCGCGGUAAUACGUAGGGCGCAAGCGUUAUCCGGAAUUAUUGGGCGUAAAGAGCUCGUAGGCGGUCUGUCGCGUCUGCUGUGAAAACCCGAGGCUCAACCUCGGGCCUGCAGUGGGUACGGGCAGACUAGAGUGCGGUAGGGGAGAUUGGAAUUCCUGGUGUAGCGGUGGAAUGCGCAGAUAUCAGGAGGAACACCGAUGGCGAAGGCAGAUCUCUGGGCCGUAACUGACGCUGAGGAGCGAAAGGGUGGGGAGCAAACAGGCUUAGAUACCCUGGUAGUCCACCCCGUAAACGUUGGGAACUAGUUGUGGGGGCCUUUCCACGGUCUCCGUGACGCAGCUAACGCAUUAAGUUCCCCGCCUGGGGAGUACGGCCGCAAGGCUAAAACUCAAAGGAAUUGACGGGGACCCGCACAAGCGGCGGAGCAUGCGGAUUAAUUCGAUGCAACGCGAAGAACCUUACCAAGGCUUGACAUAUAGAGGAAAGAUCUGGAAACAGUUCCCCCGCAAGGUCUCUAUACAGGUGGUGCAUGGUUGUCGUCAGCUCGUGUCGUGAGAUGUUGGGUUAAGUCCCGCAACGAGCGCAACCCUCGUUCUAUGUUGCCAGCACGUAAUGGUGGGAACUCAUGGGAUACUGCCGGGGUCAACUCGGAGGAAGGUGGGGAUGACGUCAAAUCAUCAUGCCCCUUAUGUCUUGGGCUUCACGCAUGCUACAAUGGCCGGUACAAAGGGCUGCAAUACCGUGAGGUGGAGCGAAUCCCAAAAAGCCGGUCCUAGCACUAAUUGAGGUCUGCAACUCGACCUCAUGAAGUCGGAGUCGCUAGUAAUCGCAGAUCAG